rnacentral:lncRNA from 1 species
GGGGGGGGGGGGGGGGGGGGGGGGGGGGGGGGGGGGGGGGGGGGGGGGGAGAUCGGCGAUCUCGCAUCGUCGACGUGGCGCGGAGCCGGAGCGCGCUGAGGAGAACCGCGCACGUGGUGACUUGGGCGGGACCUGGAGUACUGCGCCGCCAUUUCUUGCCGCGCGGGACGUUCGAGCGGGAGUUCGAACCCGUGGAAACCCGCUGGUUUUUACGGGCGACCUUCGUGCUUUUGGGACACGGUCCUCUCGUCCAUGAGCCAUCACCAGGCACAGCCCCCGCUUCAUUCUGAAGCUGUUCCAAAUGAUCCUCUGCCAAUGCCUGAAAUGAAAGGCAAAGCUGAGAGCAGCAUGCAUGAAACAUCGAAGGGCAGAGGCUUCGUUUUCUUCUUUAAUUCAUGUCACUGGAUUCAUGAGUCAUAUUCGCCAUCAUUUUUUGCCUGUGCCAUUUUUAACCUCGCCGGAGGAGAAGGAAACUCUUUGUUCAGAAGCGUUAUCAGUAGCUUCAGACAGAGCAACAGGAGGAGCAGUCUUCCCAGCAUAUUCAGAAGACUCCAGUUAGCAAGAACCCGUUCAAGCACUUCAGCAGUAGAAAUGGCAGAUGGAGGUGCCACCCAGAUGCUCUGAGGAUUUGAUCAGGAUUCUGCUGCUAUAUGUGAGACCAUGAGAUGAGCCAUUGGAGACAUAAAUUGAACCCUCCGCAUGCAGUUUGUUUAAGGAAAGAUUACAUUGUGUCGCCAAAUCUCCAGUGUUCGGUUCCCAUCUCUCAACAAAGCUGCGAGACUAAUCCUUUCCAUGUAACAGCAUGGAGGUUGGG